rnacentral:pre_miRNA from 1 species
AAUAAAUCAAUUUUUCACCUUUAUCUACAAUGUUUGACUCUUCGUCUUAUUCAAAAAAAUUACGAUUAAUAUUUUUGUUUUUAUUAGAUGAUAAAUCAUGAAUAUUACUUUCCGUGUGACUAUUUUUUUAAUUUCUAAAAAAAAAUUAAAUAAAACAAAAGGUCGGACGCUGGACACGAAAACCGAAAGUUUGCCUUAUU